UGCCACAGCAAUAUCACCCGGCAGCCCAAGACAGGUUACUCACUGAAGCUAAGCAGGGCUGAGCCUUAGUGCCUGGAUGGGAGAUCACAUGAGAAAACUAGGCUGCUGUUGGAA
rnacentral:rRNA from 1 species